UCCGAUGUAAAAGACUGGGUUUGCACUGAGUUCAAAUCCCACCGAGUUAAAAAAGUUAAAAUUGCCUUCUCCCAGAUGAACCGUCAAAUAUUUCAAGGGCCAGCUGUUAACCACGAGGUAAAUGUGGGGGAUAGGUAACCACUUGCGGGCUUGUCACUAACUAACGCCCCUUAACUGCGGGAGGGGGAAUCCCUUGAUUCAAUCGAGAUAGGUGAAGAAACAUGGAGACAGAAGCAACUAAUAAGGCCAUUAUGAAAUGAAGCAAAAAAAAAAAAAAAAAAAAAAACCGAAAGCUAAUCAGAACAUGGGGUGGACAAGGUGGACCUUUUUUGUAUGCUAUAUGCCCUCAGCACCCAUACCGCGUAUGACAUAAUGAAUGCAAGGGUUGUUAACUGGAGAUAACAGAUGAGGGUCAUGCAGCAGGUAUGGCAGAUAUAUAAAUAUCCCCUGGGAACAUCAUAAAUGUGAAUAGCCGUUUGACGUUUGGAGGUGGGGAAUUGCGAAAUUUGAGACCUUUUAGAAACCCAUAUGG
rnacentral:sRNA from 1 species